rnacentral:rRNA from 1 species
CCUACGGGUGGCAGCAGUGGGGAAUUUUUCGCAAUGGGGGCAACCCUGACGAAGCAACGCCGCGUGGGUGAUGAAGUAUCUCGGUACGUAAAACCCUUUCGACGGGGAAGCGGUACCCGUAGAAGAAGCCCCGGCUAACUCCGUGCCAGCAGCCGCGGUAAUACGGGGGGGGCGAGCGUUGUUCGGAAUUACUGGGCGUAAAGGGUGCGUAGGCGGUUCGCUAAGUUGGAUGUGAAAACUCUGGGCUCAACCCAGAGCCUGCAUCCAAGACUGGCGGACUAGAGUUCUGGAGGGGGUAGCGGAAUUCCUGGUGUAGCGGUGAAAUGCGUAGAUAUCAGGAGGAACACCGGUGGCGAAGGCGGCUACCUGGCAAGUCUGACGCUGAGGCACGAAAGCUAGGGGAGCAAACAGGAUUAGAUACCCUUGUAGUC